UACACACACCUUCCUCCUCUUCCUCCUCCUCCUCUUCAUCCUCGUCAUCCUCAUCAGAGCUGAAUGUGCCAUCAGGCAGGCUGUAGACGCGGAUGACCUGCUUGUUGGGGUCCUUGAGGAUGAGGUACUUGCCCUCCUCGAGUUUCAUGCAGAUGUCAAUGACGCAGCGCAGGAUGCCCCAGGCGUUCUCCACACUCAGGUUGAUCUGGCUGGCAAACUCAUUGGGCUUGAACUGCUGGGUGCCCAGGAUGACAUGGCGUGAGGAAUCUUUCACGUGGUACCGGGACACAUAACUAGCGGGAAGAAAGGGGUGUUGGUGGUGGAGGCAGGCCUGCACAGAGUCACAGCAACACCCAGGGCCAAAUAAUCAGUGCUUCCCAAGGGAGAGGGGAGAGGCAAGCCCUGCUCUCCCUGCCCACAGACCCCUCCUUGUAGCAGAUGCAUUCAUGACCCCUGGACACAAAACUCACCCAAGCUUGAGAUACUCAGAUCCGGCCAGCAGAGCACAGCAGGUCCAUCGGGCCAACUUGUAGCUGUUGUUUUUCAGCUCAGUGGCAAUGACAGCCCCUCGCUGAGAGUCCAGCUUCUGACGCCAGUCAACGCCGUUACAGUGCUGUGGAAGGCAAGCCCAGCACAAGAGUGAGGGGCGGCUCCUCCUGCCCGAGGCCUGGGACCUCCUCCAGCAGAGAAGGAACUCCCUUGUGGGCUUGACUUGGGAAGUGGGUUAGUCUGCAGGUAGAUCCCAGGUGUAAGCCAGACACAGAUGUCGGAGUUUGGAGGCAGGAGAAAAGUGCUGUGCUGUUGCUGAUUUGCAGAUGGAGGGGACCCUGGGGCAAGGAAUGUGGGUGACCUCUAGGAGCCGAGAAGCCGCAGGCGACAGAGCAAAAGAAAACUAAUAUGAGGCGGUAUACAGACGUAAUUGUGGCAAAAAGAACUCCCUGAAAGAAGGAUCCAUUGGAGGUCAAAAAGGAGGAGAACCAGCAGAGAAAACAAGUGAAGGGAGGGAAGAAACAUAUGGGUCCAGGUAAGGUAGCAGCACAGGGGGCAAAGCCACAUGGCUACAGUGAUGCCAAAUGCUAUGGGGAGGCCUGGUGGAAAGUCUAGGAUGAGGCCACUGGCCCCAGAGCUAAGUUUGUAGCAAGGCUUCUGGUGUGCUCUUUCAUCAGGUGACAGAGACUGGGGAGUGGGAAUCAGUGGUGGUAAAUGCUAGCCCCAAGGCUCUAAUGAAGGCAGAGCAAAAUGGCCCAUAGACUCCAUCUCAUCAGACCCCGUUUGACAGAGGCUCAGCCUGAGCCGUCCUUCCCAUGGAGGACCCUUUAUUUGGUACACAGCCCCAGGAGCACUGCCACCCACUGUAGUCAGGCACAUAAGCCUGGGCAGCUUCAGGAAGGGGAGCAGCCCAACAAUCACAGAGCACUAGCGUGAGAGGGCAGCAGAAGCAGGAAAGAUGAAGGAAGCACGUUUCUUUCAAGAGGCCUCCUGAAGAGUCAAAUCUUCACUGAUCUGAGAAUCUCUGAGUUCAAGAAGUGAAGGAGUUGGAAGAAGAAACCAAAAGGUUGGAGAGAAGGUAGUGGCUGCUUUCAGUGAAAGAACAGAUCAAAAGAGCUCCAGGGCUUCCAGGAAACCCGCCAACCCAGACGAUGAGAGACCAAACCCCCACGCUUGCAGAGGGCAGAAGCCAACAGGAGGGCAGACUGGAACAGUUUCAGAUGAAAUCCCAUGAGAAGGCAGUUACUACCGCUUCCUAUGUGCAAAAUAAGAAAACUUCUUAAACUGUAACCACAUUCUCUACACAUAGACACAAAUCUCCUCAAUGAGGAAUUAUGGGGAGGAAAAACUCAGAUGGGGAAAAAAAAAAUUCCUGGUAGCUGUAUGAUGCCCGGGGGGGCAUGAGACCAAGGCUCAAACGCUAACCAGGGAGUUCGCCAGUGAUGGCACACCCUGCAGGAAGAAUGGCCAGGGCGACCAAACGCGCCUCACCCUGGAAUCCCACUCGUUGAGUGUCUUGAUGUUGAUGAAGGACACUUCCCCGUUGGCUCCAGUCAUGACACCAUCGUGUUCACAGCGCACAAUAAGGUCAAUGUCGUCUCCAAGUUUCCACCUGCGGUACCUGCAGAGCCAACAAGGAGCCCGUUUGGUACCCAAAGCUCCCGGGUUUCAGAGAGGCCGCCCUGCCCAGGUGGCUGACAUACCGAUAGGCGACAGAGGCGACUUCGUUCUUGUCCAUGUCGUCCUCCACAAAUGGGUUUGGGUUAGGGAAGUUGUAUCUUUCCUUCCCCUGCCAACAGACAAGGGUGUCACGAGACAGCAAGCACCCGUGGCUGAGCCCAUGGACCAGCCCCUGCACUCAGCUUACAGUCCUGGCUGGCUCCCUGCAGCCCUUGAGGGGGUGGUGGGCUCCACAUGCACUAUGUCGUGGGCUGCUUACUCCUCCCAACUUCAAGCACAGACCCCCUGUAUCUGAAUUCGCAGCCAUGACUGACCACUGUCCUGUUUCACUUUUUCUAGAGUACAUGCCACCACUCGACAUGACAUAGGUUUGUUUAGUUUACUAUCUUUCCUUUCUGUUAUAAUGAAGCCUCCUAAGGGCAGAAACUUUGCUUAUUACUACUAGAUCUCCAGCACCUAAACAGUAUAUUGUAUAAAACAGCAUGGGGAUCCCUGGGUGGCACAGCAGUUUGGCGCCUGUCUUUGGCCCAGGGUGCGAUCCUGGAGACCCGGGAUCGAAUCCCAUGUCGGGCUCCGGGUGCAUGGAGCGGGCUUCUCUCUCUGCCUGUGUCUCUGCCUCUCUCUCUAUCAUAAAUAAAUAAGUAAAUAAAUAAAUAAAUCAGCAAGUUUGUCAAACACCUGAAAGAACCUCUACAUCCUGUCUGGCUGAGACAGGUAUGCUUAGUAUUUUAACCCUAUAGAGAAGAAACAUACCACACACCACAAAGCUCUGAAGUGGUGAAUCUAGGGUUCAGUCAGGCAGUCUGACCUCAAAGCCACAGCUUGGAGCUCUUCUGUGACAGGAAGAGACCAUGCCUGCCCCUGCUCAGUCCCACAACCCCACAGCCUACCACAACGCAGAUAUUCAAUGGGGACACUGGGAAGGGGACAAAAGAGAAUCUGGUGCCCAGAUGCUCUCUCCGCCUUACCAUUCUCAAGCACUGCUGGGAGAAGUUGUGAUUGAUGUAGGUUGCUUCCAUGGCCAAGUUGCGGGGUGAAUUGAAGGAAUUGCCUUCAUCUUGUGGGGGCUCAUUGGCAGUCUCACUCACUGUCAGGAGGUCUGCAAAAGUGGCAGCGUGGUCACCCACCAGCGAAACCGAGUCAUCAACAAUGUGCCUGGCAAUGCAGGGAGGGGCCACGAUCCCAGCAACACAGGCCCAUCCUUCCAGCAUCUGCUAACCCAGCUCUCCCAAGCGCGGGGUGCAGAGGCGAGGAAGCAGGAAGCACUACUGGGUAACUUCGGAUCCUCUCUAACAUUAAAUUCAAGCACAUCAUAAGACAACGAUCCCCUUUCAGUCCCUUUGGAUUCCUCAAAAUAAUAUCUGAUUUUGUCAGCUUUUUAACAAGAAGAAGGUCCUAAGCCUCUGGUGCGGAAUGUAAUUAUAUCAUUCCAUCUCACUGCUAUCAAAUUUCAGUGACAUGGUUUCCCUUCAUGGUGUGUCUAUACACAUUUAUGUUGUUAUCAAAUACAUGCACAUGUAAUCUUCCCUUUAUAAAUACACUGAAAUAAAGGUAAAAGAAACAUUAAUUUAAAGAAAACAUGGAAUAAAUGUUAAAGGUGGUAUGGAGCAUUGACAGAAGCCAGGAAAAUGCCAUUCAAAUGAGUAACACCUGCACACAUAGUAUUGGGGCUAUGGGAGGACUCAGAAAUCUGGCACCUCGAGGAGGUAGUGCAUGACAGGCCUUCGCUGAGGAGGCGGGGAGGGAUUCAGCUGCAGCCAUCAGUGCUUGUGAGGACACAGACCACUUCCCGUCCACUCUCUAGUAGCAGGGACUUGCUCGAAACCAACAGAACACCUGACACCUUGUGCUGCUCCCAGACAGGCUUCUUACCAAAAUCAGAGUUGUCCCUUUUAUCAAAGAAGAGCUUGGACCCAACUCUUUGCACAACAAUGUCCCAGGAAUACACGGAGCGGGUGCAACUCAUCAGUGUGGCCAGAAUGGCAUCAGUGGCAAACACAUUACCCUGGGUUUUUGCCAGCUGCAAAGAGGACAGAGAGAAAGAGAGAUGUGAAGAUACACUUAGGCCAAACAGCCCACGUGCACGGAGGACUCCCCUGCAGGGAGCUUUCUUGCCUUCAAGCACACGUGCACACCCCUCUAACCUGUCUUAAGGGGUGAGUCCGGCAAACCAGCCCACAAGCUUCCAUGGCCAGUCACCACCCUGGGAUACAGGGACUGCAGCUCUCUGAGCACUUGCCAUAUUCCAGGAUGGCACCUUGCAGUGCUUUCGUCCUGCCUCCAGUGGCUGGUGGUAAGCACAUUCAACCCAUCUCAUGGGUAAGCAAAAAAGGCCUCAGGUAGGUGGUGCGGGGGAGCCCGGUAGAGCUGGGAUUCGAGUCCACCUCCGCUUAACCCCAACAUUAUGGUGUAGCCAGCAAGGUGCCUGUAUUCCCAUCUAGUCCUGUCCCGUUUGGGAGCAUCUUGUCUAAAAGGGUUUCUGAGGUCCCAAGAUCCAUGGAUGUGCCUGUGUGCUGUUCCUUCUGCAGCCUCAACUGUAGAAGCCAGCAGCACUCCUUCAGGGUGCCCACCUUUCGGAUGACAGGGUCAUCUGUGGUGGUGACAGUGUGGAAGAUGCGCUUGAUGCUCCGCAGCGGCUUCUCGCUCCUCGUGGUGAUGCGGUCGAAGGCUUUAUCGUAGUACUCCAGGGCACCACAACACUCGCUGACGGGACAGUGGAGAAGACACACAAAGGAAACGGGAAGAUCAUCAGCUGCUUUUGUUAUUUUUUGUUUGUAUUUUAAAAGCCAUUAUAGAAGGGUGCCUGGGUCGCUUAGUCCACUAAGCAGCCAACUCUGAAUUUUGGCUCAGGUAAUAAACUCAGGGUGGUGAGAUCAAGCCCAUAUCAGGCUCCACACUCAGCAGGGAGACAGAGCCUGCUUGAGAUUCUCUCCCUCUCCUUUUGCCCAUCCCCUUGCUUGUGUGCGUUCUCUCUAAAAUAAAUCUUAAAACGAAAAGACAUUGAAUCCAAACUCUUAUCCAGAAAUCUAAAAAAUAAGAAAUGGUUUUUCUUUGAUGAGAACAGAAGACAAGUUCUCAGAGUUCACUCAGGGCCCGUCCCCUAAGCUCUGGAUAUGGCCCCACAGAGCAGCAUGAACAAAACUGAUUGACUCAACCUCCACAUUUUAAUGACAUGGUGACUGAGGCCAAGAUGAAGAGACAGGUAGUUCUAGAGGCCUCCAGAUGCACUGACUUCUAACCUGGUACUCCGGUCCCCACUGACAUUGAUCUGCUACUUGAGGUAAACAGCUCUUUGUAAUGUCAGGAAAAGCUUUGCUUCUGACAAACUACUCUCUCUUCUUGCCAAAAGAGCCACACAACUUGAUUUCUCUUUUGCUCACGAUGCCAGGAAGUGGAAAGAAAUCUCUCAAGUUUAACAUCAGCGAACUUCUUUCUCCUAGUCUCGCCUUAGCCUUGAUUUUUAAAAACACAUUAAUCUUGUGCAAUGUCUUAGCAGCUUCAAAUUCUCUUUUGGAAAUACUAUGGCUUAGGAACAUAAGUCACCAGCAGCAGGUCCACACACCUAAGUGCGUGGCGGAAGGUAGCAAACGAUGCCACUUACAUGUCCUGUGGCUCUGAUACUUCCAAGUAGCGCAUCUUCAUUAACUGAGGAAAGUCCAUUUCUUCUUUUACCUCCCAGUCACUACGGACUUCAACUGAAGAGUCUCGGGGUUUCUGCAGUGCAAAACCAGUGGAGGGAAAAGAAUUACAACUAGGGCAUAACACAAGCAAAAGGCAUGUUAACAGUGUGAAGGGUUUUUAGUCAAUAAAUCUCUUCAGAACAUUUGCCAUGUGUUGGCUGCUUUAUAAAAGAAUCCCUGACUCUUUGGAGUUUAUGAUCUAGAAAAUGACUGAAGGGGUCAAGAAAUAAAAAUCAAUCAGGACUUUUACUUGAAGGUGAUGUCAGCACCCAGGGAACACCAGCUCUUUCACGUGUAUGUAUUUCAGAAAAGAAGCUUUAGCAGUUUUUUAUUUCUCUCAGGACAUUAACACACAACGAGCAUUGUGUCCAGCAAAAUCUUAAUUGCUGCCACUGAAGCUUCUCUCUUGCUUACGGGUGUCUUCUAUCCUCACAGUGCCCACAUAAGCACCUGUACACGAAUGCUUAUGGCAACAUUUUUCAUAACAGCAAAAAGCGGAAACCAUAGUGAACCGAUAACAAAACGUGGUAUAUCCAUACAAGUUUGGCUGUAAGGAGGCAUGAACAAACACCACGAGGUGGAUGAACUAUGAAAACAUGCUCAGUGGGAGGAUCCAGACACAAAAGACUACAUUCUGUUUAGGAUUCUGUUUAUGUGAAAUGUCUAGAAGCACAAAUCCAGAGACAGAAGGGACUGGUAACAGCCAAGGGCUGAGGAGAACAAGGACUAAGUGCUGAAGGGUACCGGGCUCUUUUCAGAAUGAGGAGAAUGUUCCGAGACUGGCUGCAGUAACACUGGCCCGUAUCUGUGAAUGUACCAAAAACCACUGAACUUGUAUGCUUUAAGUAGGUGGAUUGUAUAGCAUGUGGAUUUUGUUUCAAUAAAGUGGUCAUAAAACCAAAUAAACCAGCAAAAUUGAGUUUCUAGAGAAAACUCUGGUGUGGAUACACUACCUGUGACUUCUGGUCCCACUUCUGCCUCACUCCGAAUUGUUUCUGGAAUUUUUUCUGCAGCCGUAUGCGCUCUCUAGAAAGGUAAAAAGAUUGUGCUGUGGGUGCAGACCUUUAAGUCAAUGGCUUCUCAAAAGGCAGAAGCUGCCCUUCUCUUCCACUAAACCUCGUCCUCAACAUCAGGACUUCUCGCAACAAAGAAAAUAGGGGCUUAGUGAAAAAGAGUCUAGUGAAAGCAUGCCAUGUUAGAGUGCUAGAAGUACGCUGCUCCCCAGUGCCGAGCAGGUAGGCUUUGCCCCCCCUGCAGAGUCUACUGGCAGCCCCAGCCUGAGGCAGGGCUGCUGCAUGACACAGCUCCCAGGGCCCAGUGUGAAGGAUGCCCCUGGACUUGUGCCACAGCAGAACCGAGCCUACGUGAGCCCCAGGGCUUGACUUACUUGCCCUCAUUUCCUACCAGUGUGCAUGGCCACUGCCAAGUACCAUCCAGCUCCUCUAUCUGCCAAGAAUAGCCCUUGGAGGACGAUGGCAGGCUAAACCAGUGGUUUCCCUGGAAUCAGGGCGGUUUUGUUUUGUUUUUUUUGCAAUUAUGGGGAAGACAACCAUCCUCCUGCUUUGGCUCAGUGAUUUCAGAGUACAGUCAGUCUUGAAGAACAGCGUGUUCCAGGAGGAUGGAAAACCUCACCUCUCUUUCUGCUUGGCACUCUUAGGCAAGGUCUGCAGGUUGAACUGCAACAUAUUCCGUCGAUCUUUGUCUCUGCGGAGGUUCCGCUGGGAAUUAAGAAAAAACACCCAUGUCAAAAUCUUGGGGAUUUGACA